UACGUAGGGGGCUAGCGUUGUCCGGAUUUAUUGGGCGUAAAGAGCGUGUAGGCGGCCAGGUAGGUCUGCUGUGAAAACUCGAGGCUCAACCUCGAGACGUCGGCGGAAACCAUCUGGCUAGAGUCCGGAAGAGGCGAGUGGAAUUCCUGGUGUAGCGGUGAAAUGCGCAGAUAUCAGGAGGAACACCAAUUGCGAAGGCAGCUCGCUGGGACGUUACUGACGCUGAGACGCGAAAGCGUGGGGAGCAAACAGG
rnacentral:rRNA from 1 species